AAACCAGCACCUCAAGUGGUCAGGAUGAUUAUUGGGCCUAAAGCAUCCGUAGCCUGCUCUGUAAGUUUUCGGUUAAAUCUGUACGCUCAACGUACAGGCUGCCGGGAAUACUGCAGAGCUAGGGAGUGGGAGAGGUAGACGGUACUCGGGAGGAAGUGGUAAAAUGCUUUGAUCUCUCGAUGACCACCUGUGGCGAAGGCGGUCUACCAGAACACGUCCGACGGUGAGGGAUGAAAGCUGGGGGAGCAAACCGGAUUAGAUACCCGGGUAGUCC
rnacentral:rRNA from 1 species